rnacentral:lncRNA from 11 species
UGACAUGUGUAUGGCCACGUUUGCUAUGAUCACAAUGUUUCUCUGGUAUGUAUGUGUGCGUUUGUAGAAAAUCAUAAGAAAAUCCCAUGGGAAACAUCACAACGAUAAAUGUAGAAGAAUGCAGGAAGGACACCAUCAAUAAUCAUCAGAGUUACUCGAGUAUUCUGAGUGUUUCUGUUUCACCAGAACAGUUCAAGGAAACUGAAGGAAGAAAGGGAAGGAAGUACAAAGUUGCUGCAAAAAUGACUG